AUGGGUCAUCACCCCUGGGUGAUCUUAGGGGAUUUUAAUGAAAUUUUACUGUCGUCAGAAAAAGAGGGCGGAAAUGCAAGACCAAAUGCUAUGAUGAGAGACUUCCGUAAUUGUCUAGGAGAGUGUGGCCUCGAGGAUAUGGGUUGUAUUGGAGACCCUUUCACUUGGAGGAGAGGCGAUACUAGAGAGAGGCUCGACCGUGCGGUGUGCAAUGUGGAAUGGGCGAACAAAUUCCCUCGGGCUGCGUUAAUUAAUGAGGAACACGUUCAUUCUGAUCAUCGUCCACUCGUACUGGAUACGGAAUAUUUUGAUGGAAAUAUUUUUAACGCCCCAAGGGGACGAGUAAAACAAUUUGAAGCUAGAUGGCUCAAGGAGGAGACGGUCGGCGAAAUUGUUCGUACAACAUGGGAAAAGGCAAAGAUGCUGAGUAUUGGGCCAAAGCUCGCCGAUCGUACUCGUGCGCUUCAGUCAGAUCUGCACAUUUGGGGUCACGAGGUUUUGAGAGGCCCAAAACAGAGAAUAAAAAAGCUAAAAAAAGAGUUGGAGAAGCUACGGAAAGGCCCUAUGAAUGUGGAUUCCCAUGCACGACAGAAGGAGAUUUUGGUUCUCAUUGAAAAUUUGCUGGAACAAGAGGAGAUUCAUUGGGUACAUCGUGGUCGUGCAAAUUGGUUAUUGCAUGGGGAUCGCAACACUUCUUUCUUUCAUAAUGCGGCAACGGCUAGGUACGGAAAUGAAGGAUUAUAUUAA
rnacentral:rRNA from 1 species